rnacentral:piRNA from 1 species
UCAGGAAACGAUUAUUUUGGAUAAGUAACU